AUCUGUUUAACUAUGGCAGUAGGAAGCUUUUUUUACUUCGUUGCAUAAAAUUUGUUUAUAUUUAUUCUUUAAGAAAUCUUUUUUGUGAAUUAGCAGCUAAUUUUUUAUUUAAGCGAGUGCUUUUUAAGAAGUGGGGAGUUAAAAGGGGAAAGGUCACAGUGCCAGCAUCCGCGGUUAUUCUGUUUUCUUUGCUUUUAUUUAGAACUGGGUUUGGUUAUAUAGUCUUAAGGUUUGGUGAAAUUUUCUUAGGUUAAUGUUAUAUGAUCAGUUUGAUAAAAUUAGCUUAUAGCGACAGGGAUUAGAUACCCCAUUAGUAGCUAUGGUAGUAGGUUUCUUAGUUUUAUAACUAAAAUAGUUUGGCAGCAAGUUAAUCCUGUUAGGGGAAGGUGUGAUUUAAAGGAUGAUCCGCCUAUUAAGUUACCUGUGUUAUGUUGGUGUAUAUCUGGUUGUAUAUUAUUGUUUAGUGACACAAAUUUGUGUAGUUAUAGUUAAGCCAAGUCUAUGUGCUGCUUGCACAGGUUAUCAUGCGUUACAGUUAUAUAUGCUUACUUGUAAUAGUAGGCUCCUUAGGACUUAAUAGUAAUAGGUUAUUAGUUUGUGCCUGUGAAAUAGGUUUGGCUUGGGUACACACCGCCCGUCACCCUCGAUGAUUAUUGAGGUAAGUCGUAACAAGGUAACCCCAAAUGAAUUUGGGGUUAAUUAUAGUUAUACUUUUGAGUAAUAGCU
rnacentral:ncRNA from 1 species